UUAGCUGUAAAGGCAAGUUUGCUUUAUUUUCACUGCCAAAAAAUGAAGACCAGAAGAAUCAGUGGUUAAAAUUCAUUUUUAACACGAUACCACAGCAGUACAACAAACCCCUUUGGUUGUGUUCCCGUCAUUUUACAGACGAUUGUUUUUCCAAUCUCGGUGAGUUCAAAGCGGGAUUUUUAAAACGUUUGAACAUGAAAGAGGGUUCAUUACCAACUUUAUUUGGACCAACAAGCAUCUCAGAACCACAACCUAGUACAUCACAACAGAUUGAGUUACCAAACACUUUGUUUGUGGAGGUGGAAUGUCAGACUGAACCUCCAAACACAAAGUCAGUAGGAACACAGACAGAACUGACACAGAUAUCUGUUGGCACACAGCUAUCUACUGGUACACUGAAAGAAACACACAGUAGGAGCAAAGGAUCACAAGCAACAGUUUCUUUAGAAAGUGUUGGCACAGAAACCACUACAGCUCUUUAUGAUCUACCAUUUUCGUCUACACCUGUAA